rnacentral:tRNA from 1 species
GCUCGAAUGGUGUAAUGGUAGCCACGAAGGACUUAAAAUCCUUUGGUCAUUGCGACCGUGCGGGUUCGAGUCCCGCUUCGAGCACCA